rnacentral:lncRNA from 1 species
CGAAAAACAAAUAUGUAAAUCAUAAACAAACGACAACCACUGAACUACAGGCUCCUGACUUGACACAGUCAAAUACAUACAUGAUGUGGCGGGGUUAAACCUGUUAGUGGGAGCCUAACCCUCCCCUCACCUGAAACAGUGGUAUAACAGUACAACAUAAGAAAGAACUAUACAAAUCGGUUGAAAAAGGCUUAACUCAGCAGAUGGAAAAAAAUACAAGUGGACAUUUCCCGGUAAUUGAACAUCCCGACAACAAAAAGACACUAGGAAAAGAUCUGAGAGUACUCGCAGUUAACUGACUAAUAAUUCAAAGCCACA